CAGUCGCCGCGGGAAUAUGUAGGGUGCGAGCGUUAAUCGGAAUUACUGGGCGUGAAGCGUGCGCAGGCGAUUUUGUAAGACAGGCGUGAAAUCCCCGGGCUCAACCUGGGAAUGGCGCUUGUGACUGCAAAGCUAGAGUGCGGCAGAGGGGGAUGGAAUUCCGCGUGUAGCAGUGAAAUGCGUAGAUAUGCGGAGGAACACCGAUGGCGAAGGCAAUCCCCUGGGCCUGCACUGACGCUCAUGCACGAAAGCGUGGGGAGCAAACAGGAUUAGAUACCCCCGUAGUCCCUGUCUCUUAUAA
rnacentral:rRNA from 1 species